AUUGAACGCUGGCGGCAGGCCUAACACAUGCAAGUCGAGCGGAUGAAGGGAGCUUGCUCGUGGAUUCAGCGGCGGACGGGUGAGUAAUGCCUAGGAAUCUGCCUGGUAGCGGGGGAUUACGUCCGGAAACGGGCGCCAAUACCGCAUACGUCCUGAGGGAGAAAGUGGGGGAUCUUCGGACCUUACGCUAUCAGAUGAGCCUAGGUCGGAUUAGCUAGUUGGUGGGGUAAAGGCCUACCAAGGCGACGAUCCGUAACUGGUCUGAGAGGAUGAUCAGUCACACUGGAACUGAGACACGGUCCAGACUCCUACGGGAGGCAGCAGUGGGGAAUAUUGGACAAUGGGCGAAAGCCUGAUCCAGCCAUGCCGCGUGUGUGAAGAAGGUCUUCGGAUUGUAAAGCACUUUUAGUUGGGAGGAAGGGCAGUAAGUUAAUACCUUGCUGUUUUGACGGUACCAACAGAAUAAGCACCGGCUAACUUCGUG
rnacentral:rRNA from 1 species